UUUAUACCCUUCCAAAAUAUCCAAUAAUUGAAACGAUACAAAAAAGAUUAGUAUGGUUCUAUGUCAAGAUGACAUGCAUAAUUUGAAAAAUGGUCCAAAUUUUA